AUAAUUGCAGUUCAUAAGCAUGAUAAUUGGGUGCUCACGCAUGCGUGUGUGAGAUGUAUCACCCUCAAACCUUGUUACGAUGUCAGCACAUUAUCCGUCCAACA
ensembl:snoRNA